AUUGAACGCUGGCGGCAUGCCUUACACAUGCAAGUCGAACGGCAGCACGGGAGCAAUCCUGGUGGCGAGUGGCGAACGGGUGAGUAAAGUAUCGGAACGUGCCCAGUCGUGGGGGAUAACGUAGCGAAAGUUACGCUAAUACCGCACACGAUCUAUGGAUGAAAGCGGGGGAUCGCAAGACCUCGCGCGAUUGGAGAGGCCGAUAUCAGAUUAGGUAGUUGGUGGGGUAAAGGCUCACCAAGGCGACGAUCUGUAGCUGGGCUGAGAGGACGACCAGCCACAAUGGGACAGAGCAACAGCCCUGACUCCUGCGGGAGGCCGCAGUGGGUAAUCUUGGACGACGGGCGAGGGGCUGAUCUUGUCAUGCCGCGUGCAGGAUGACGGCCUGCGGGUUGUACAAGGCUUUUGUACGGAACGAAAAGGUUUGGCCUAAUAAGCUGAGCUCAUGACGGUACCGUAAGAAUAAGCACCGGCUAACUACGUGCCAGCCGCCGCAGUAA
rnacentral:rRNA from 1 species